AUGGGACAUUUUGAAGAUGAUGAUGACGACAAGCCUGUAGUUAUGUAUGACAGAGAGAAUCCCUCAAUUGAGGAAGGUGUAGCCUUUCCCUCUACAGUGGACUAUAGAAAUGUAGUUGCAACAUUCUCAAUAAGGACAGAAAAAGAAUUUCAAUUUGACAAAAGUGAUCCAACAAGGUUUAGUGUGCACUGUGCAUAUGAUAGGUGUAAAUGGAGAUUACAUGCAUCUUUGAUGAGGAGAAGCACACUGUUUCAGAUCAAAGUAAAUCCUUGCCAACACAACUGUCCAAGUGUUAACAGAAGCCAGAGGCUGAGAGCCACAAAGAGAAGGUGGAUAGCAGAUGCUACAAUGUCAUGGAUCGGACAUAAUCUAGGCAUUGGUCCAAAAGAAAUUCAACAGAAGUUACUUGAGAAAUAUGGAGUUGAACCUCCAUAUAUGAGAUGUUACUAUGGGAAAGAGAUGGCCCUAGAGAGGAUAUAUGGGAAUAUAGUAACAGUUUUUAGCUACUUUACACACUCAAGGCUGAAGUUGAGAGGGCUUCACCUGGCAGUGUUGUUGAGAUUGACAAACACACUGUACAGUACAAGCUCAGAGGUAAAAACUUUCCAAAAAGAGUGCUUUAGAAGAGUAUUUGUCUGUUUCAAGGCUUGUCAAAAGGGUUUCUUGGAGGGGUGUAGGCCAUACCUCGUUGUGGAUGCUACAACAUUGAACGGGAGGUUUAGAGGCCAACUAGUUGUUGUAUGUGCCAUAGAUGCUCAUAACUGGCUAUUCUUGUAG
rnacentral:rRNA from 1 species